AUUAUUGAGAGUUUGAUCCUGGCUCAGGACGAACGCUGGCGGCGUGCCUAAUACAUGCAAGUCGAACGCAUUUUGUUUCACCGGAGCUUGCUCCACCGAAACAAAAUGAGUGGCGGACGGGUGAGUAA
rnacentral:rRNA from 1 species